rnacentral:rRNA from 1 species
CUUGGUCAUUUAGAGGAAGUAAAAGUCGUAACAAGGUUUUCGUAGGUGAACCUGCGGAAGGAUCAUUAGUGAACACUGGACUCCAACUCUGCAAAGAGAAGGUUUCCUUUCCACUACCACACACACUUGUGCACUUGUUCUUAUUUUACAAUUUACUUUGUAAAAUUUUUAACACCUGUGAGAAACUUAUAAAGUCGUUAAUGCAUAACAAAUUUGAUAAAUGAAAGAAAAACUUUCAGCAAUGGAUCUCUUGGCUCUCGCAUCGAUGAAGAACGCAGCGAAACGCGAAAUGUAAUGUGAAUUGCAGAAUUCAGUGAAUCAUCGAAUCUUUGAACGCACCUUGCGCUCUCGGGUUAUUCCUGGGAGCAUGCUUGUUUGAGUAUCACGAACCUCUCAACCCCGCCCUCUUUAUUGAAGGUUGUUUGGGCUUAGAUCAUGAUGAUUGUCGAUGUAACAACCGACUUCAUUGAAAUACAACAAGCUGAAUUAGCACACUUGCGGCUUGACCUAUUGUUGUAACUUAAAUUCAAUAGGAACGCAUUAAAGUUGAACGAGCUUACCAUAAAGGUGUCGUAAAACCACACAAAGUGAUCAUCGAUCUCAAAUCAAGUAGGACUACCCGCUGAACUUAAGCAUAUCAAUAAGCGGAGGAAAAGAAACUAACAAGGAUUCCCCUAGUAACGGCGAGUGAAGUGGGAAAAGCUCAACUUUGUAAUCUGGCUCUUUCAGAGUCCGAGUUGUAGUCUAGAGAAGUGUUAUCCGCGCCGGACCUUAGCUAAGGCUGUUGGAAUGCAGCGUCAAAGAGGGUGAGAAUCCCGUACUUUCUGAGGAACUCCCGUGUGCAUUGUGAUGCAUUUUCAAAGAGUCGAGUUGUUUGGGAAUGCAGCUCAAAGUGGGUGGUAAAUUCCAUCUAAAGCUAAAUAUUGGCGAGAGACCGAUAGCGAACAAGUACCGUGAGGGAAAGAUGAAAAGCACUUUGGAAAGAGAAUGAAACAGUAUGUGAAAUUGCUGGAAGGGAAACGAUUGAAGUUAGACUUGCGUGUGCAAUAUUCAACCUUUCUUCGGACUGGUGUAUUUAUUGCAUUUUGCAGGCCAGCAUCAGUUUGCUUCGCUGUAAAAGGGUAGAGAGAACGUGGCUUCCCCGGAAGUGUUAUAGCUUUCUACUGGACGCAGAGUUGCAGACUGAGGAACGCAGUGCGCCGCAAGGCAGAAUCUUUAGAUUCCGAGCACUUAGGAUGCUGGUUGAAUAGCUUUAAACGACCCGUCUUGAAACACGGACC